UUAAGUUCAGCGGGUAAUCCUACCUGAUUUGAGGUCAGAGGUCAAUUAAGAUGUUGUCCCGUUCGCAGGGACGGUUAGAAGCUGAUCCUACCACCGUCUUUCAACGGGCCUCACAGCCACGGCGUAGACAAUUAUCACACCGAACAGCCGAUACAGCAUAGGUUCAAGCUAAUGCAUUCAAGAGGAGCCGAUCCCGUUAA
rnacentral:misc_RNA from 1 species